GGGAUGCGGACCUUGUGACGUCACCCGCAGACUCCUACUUUGUGGGAAUUGUAGUCCAGCAGAAUGGAAGUCCCAGAACAGAUCGAUUUUUCAGGGAUGGUGGAACGCCUCAUAAGUUGGUGGCGCUAAAUAUCUUCAGGAAAUAGGAAGAAUAUAAUCAAGUGAUGUCAUCACAGCAGGCAUAUGACUGACCUUCAACGUUGGAAUUUGGUUGAAAUAAGGUCAGUUGUUUGUUCAACGAUGAAUGGUAAACGGUUGCAAAAGGUUAAUAAAAUGCUUAAAAAUCAACGUUGAAAUUUGAUUGAAAUAAUUUCAGUUGUUGUUCAACGUUAAAAAAUUUGCAAAAUCAAAAGGUAAUUCAACGUUGAUUCAACCUUGUCCUUGACCUUUAAUCAACGUUGAAAUGCCAGCUGGCAUUAGUGUGAUUUUUAUUUUAAAAUAAAGAGAUUUUUGUUAAACGGUAACACCAGUGACACAAAUCUGGGGGACAACUGCUUUCAUUAUAUAUUUUUUAAUUUAAUUCACAAUUUUAGGUUUCUUUGCCAGUUACAUAUUAUUUGACAGAUAUAUCAUUAGAUUUUAAAUUGUAGAAAUUUUUCCUCUGUACUUGACUGCGGGGAUGAGCACUUUUGUGGUGCUUGGAAUUGUAAAUAAUUAGUGAAUACAAAAUUGCCACAUUAAUGAUUAAGAAGGUGUAAUUGCUCAAAUAACAAAUUUAAUUUGAAAAAAAAAUUAAUGAAACCCUAAGGUGUUUUUCAAAUGUAAUAUUUUUGUAAAGGCUAGGGACAAAAAAUGAAUGACUGAAAUGAAUGAUUCAAAUAUGACUGUCUUUCAUGAUUUUUUU